AAAAUCCGCGACUUUUAAAAUCGU
rnacentral:tRNA from 1 species